UACGUAGGGUGCGAGCGUUGUCCGGAAUUAUUGGGCGUAAAGAGCUUGUAGGCGGUUUGUCGCGUCUGCUGUGAAAAUCCGGGGCUCAACCCCGGACUUGCAGUGGGUACGGGCAGACUAGAGUGUGGUAGGGGAGACUGGAAUUCCUGGUGUAGCGGUGAAAUGCGCAGAUAUCAGGAGGAACACCGAUGGCGAAGGCGGGUCUCUGGGCCGUAACUGACGCUGAGGAGCGAAAGCGUGGGGAGCGAACAGGG
rnacentral:rRNA from 1 species